CAGAGAUGUUGACAAGGUGUGGAAUAGGUCGCUUGUUGUUGUAUGAUUAUGAUAAAGUGGAGUUAGCUAACAUGAAUAGACUCUUCUUCCGUCCAGAGCAGGUUGGCAUGACAAAAACUGAUGCUGCAGUACAGACUCUAGCAGAUAUAAACCCCGAUGUCGUACUUGAGAGCUAUACGCUGAACAUCACAACUGUGCAAGG
rnacentral:misc_RNA from 1 species